GAUGAACGCUGGCGGCGUGCUUAACACAUGCAAGUCGAACGAUUAACCCACCUUCGGGUGGUUAUAGAGUGGCGAACGGGUGAGUAACACGUGACCAACCUGCCCCAGACAUCGGGACAACCAUUGGAAACGAUGGCUAAUACCGAAUACUCUCUUCCUUCCACAUGGUAGGAAGAGGAAAGCUCAGGCGGUCUGGGAUGGGGUCGCGGCCCAUCAGGUAGUAGGCGGGGUAACGGCCCACCUAGCUUAUGACGGGUAGCCGGACUGAGAGGACGACCGGCCACAUUGGGACUGAGAUACGGCCCAGACUCCUACGGGAGGCAGCAGUGGGGAAUAUUGCGCAAUGGGGGCAACCCUGACGCAGCAACGCCGCGUGCGGGAUGAAGGCUUUCGGGUUGUAAACCGCUUUCAGCAGGGAUGACAUCGACAGUACCUGCAGAAGAAGCCCCGGCUAACUACGUGCCAGCAGCCGCCGUAAAAC
rnacentral:rRNA from 1 species